AGGGGAAAAGUGUUACGGUAGCACGGCUGGCUCCAAACCAGUAGGAUGAGGUUCAAUUCCUUGUUCCCCUGCCA
rnacentral:tRNA from 1 species